rnacentral:tRNA from 1 species
CGGGAUGUAGCGCAGCCCGGUAGCGCGCGUCGUUCGGGACGACGAGGCCGCAGGUUCGAAUCCUGUCAUCCCGACCA